rnacentral:rRNA from 1 species
GGGUGAGUAACGCGUGAGGAACCUGCCUUUCAGAGGGGGACAACAGUUGGAAACGACUGCUAAUACCGCAUGACACAUAGAGACCGCAUGGUUUUUAUGUCAAAGAUUUAUCGCUGAAAGAUGGCCUCGCGUCUGAUUAGCUAGUUGGUGAGGUAACGGCCCACCAAGGCGACGAUCAGUAGCCGGACUGAGAGGUUGACCGGCCACAUUGGGACUGAGAUACGGCCCAGACUCCUACGGGAGGCAGCAGUGGGGAAUAUUGCACAAUGGGGGAAACCCUGAUGCAGCGACGCCGCGUGAGCGAAGAAGUAUUUCGGUAUGUAAAGCUCUAUCAGCAGGGAAGAAGAAAUGACGGUACCUGACUAAGAAGCACCGGCUAAAUACGUGCCAGCAGCCGCGGUAAUACGUAUGGUGCAAGCGUUAUCCGGAUUUACUGGGUGUAAAGGGAGCGCAGGCGGAAGGCUAAGUCUGAUGUGAAAGCCCGGGGCUCAACCCCGGUACUGCAUUGGAAACUGGUCAUCUAGAGUGUCGGAGGGGUAAGUGGAAUUCCUAGUGUAGCGGUGAAAUGCGUAGAUAUUAGGAGGAACACCAGUGGCGAAGGCGGCUUACUGGACGAUAACUGAC